rnacentral:rRNA from 1 species
CCUACGGGAGGCAGCAGUGGGGAAUUUUGCGCAAUGGGGGAAACCCUGACGCAGCAACGCCGCGUGCGGGACGAAGGCCUUCGGGUUGUAAACCGCUUUCAGCAGGGACGAAUUCCGACGGUACCUGCAGAAGAAGCCCCGGCUAACUACGUGCCAGCAGCCGCGGUAAUACGUAGGGGGCGAGCGUUAUCCGGAUUCAUUGGGCGUAAAGCGCGCGUAGGCGGCGCGUCAAGCGGGACCUCUAACCCCGGGGCUCAACCCCGGGCCGGGUCCCGGACUGGCGCGCUCGAGUGCGGUAGAGGCGAGUGGAAUUCCCGGUGUAGCGGUGGAAUGCGCAGAUAUCGGGAAGAACACCGAUGGCGAAGGCAGCUCGCUGGGCCGACACUGACGCUGAGGCGCG